ACGAAUUUAUGAUUGAAGUUGUAGCUGGCCGCAAGGCAUGUGCACGCUUCUUUCGCAAAUCCACACACACCUGUGCACCUUCGCGUGGGCUUUCCUGGCAGCUAGGGGGAGUUGAUCCCUCUGUUACCGGAUUGCUUGCGUCUUUUUUUCAUAAACUCUUGCAUGUCUUUUAGAAUGGUAUACUUCGAUGUAAUAAAAACGCAUCUAAAUA
rnacentral:misc_RNA from 1 species